CCCUUCCACCAUCCACAAUAGAAAGAUGCUGUGUCUCAUAAGAAAAGUUGUUAGCACCCUCUUUUCUUAUUCUUGCCACAACUCUAUGCCUCUUUUGUUCCUCCCUAGACACACACACACACACACACACACACACAGACAUAUUUUAAAAUAUUCUGUAACGAACUAUGUGAAUAACUGAUUCACUUGGUUAUGUAUUUGUCACCCAGUCAAGGCAUUUGUCAAAUGGCUACCAUGUGCCGGAUCCUGGUGGACAAUGAUGAACAAGACCGUGUCUUUGCUGCUAACAAGCUCAUAGUCUUGAGGAGAGAGAGAGCCCCAUCUGGGAAGACGUCUCUUACCACAUGGAAGAAGAAAAAGCCACCCUGAAUGUUGGCAGUUGAUCUCUAUAAUGGCAAUGUCAUACUCUUUUGUUUGACACUUGAUAUUUUGACAGUCUCUCCACAUGCAUUUUCUCUUUGGAUCUCUGCAACAACCCAGUGAGGAAGCCUGGGAAAGGUGAAGUUGAUGGGACAGAGGGAUUGCAUGACAGGCCUAGAAUCACAGGAGCUGGUGAGCGGCAGAAUGCGGUUUGGAAGGGCACUUGGCUGACUCCAGACUCAAUGUGCUUAGCUUGUACACUGUACCUCUUCACCCCCAUCUCAUCUGGUCAAGGCCGACUUAUCCUUCUGUCUUUGCUCAACUGCUAUUUCUUUAGGAAAUAUCCCUGCUCUUCUGAAUGGAUCAAAUCCUGCUAUUGUCUGUUUUCACUACCCCGUUCCUCUCUGGCAUCAUCACUGGGAUUUUACACUCAAUUAAUCACAAUCAGUAACCAGUUGUUGACUGUUGACUCCAGGAAGUCAGGGCCCAUCUAAUUUUGGGCUCAUUAUUAUAUUUCUCUUUGCCUAAUGAAGUGCUUGUCAGUUAGUAAAUGCUCAAUAAUUAUUUAGCUACUAAUGAAUAUAUAGAUCUGUAUAUCUUUGACAAGAGUGUGAUUAUUCUGUACCUCUGCUGCCUCCUGCACAGCCCCCACUGGGGAUCAAGCCCACAACCUGGGCAUGUGCCCUGAGCGGGA